UGGUGGGAUCCAUGCAUGGUUCAUUUUAAUAAACGCAAGCUUGUCCAUGUUGGCAGUGGACAGGCGGCUGCGCUUGUCUAUGAUAUCCUCGUGACGAUCGCACGUCCCUGUGACAGCGACAACGCAUUCGGAUGUCUGUCCUAUCAACUUUUGAUGUAAUUUUCCGCGCCUACCAUGGUGACCAUGGGUAACAAGGAAUCAGGGUUCGAUUCCACAGAGGGAGCCUGAGAAACGGCUACCACAUGCAAGGAAGGCAGCAGGCGCGCACAUUACCCACUCCUGAUGCGGGGAGGUAGUGA